rnacentral:rRNA from 1 species
CCUACGGGUGGCAGCAGUGGGGAAUAUUGCACAAUGGGGGGAACCCUGAUGCAGCGACGCCGCGUGGGUGAAGGAGUAUUUCGGUAUGUAAAGCCCUAUCAGCAGGGAAGAACAAUGACGGUACCUGACUAAGAAGCAUCGGCUAACUCCGUGCCAGCAGCCGCGGUAAUACGGAGGAUGCGAGCGUUAUCCGGAAUGACUGGGCGUAAAGGGAGUGUAGGCGGCAUAUUAAGUUAUGUGUGAAAGCCCGCGGCUCAACCGCGGAAUUGCACAUAAAACUGGUAAGCUGGAGUGCAGGAGAGGUAAGUGGAAUUCCCGGUGUAGCGGUGGAAUGCGUAGAUAUCGGGAGGAACACCAGAGGCGAAGGCGACUUACUGGACUGUAACUGACGCUGAGGCUCGAAAGCGUGGGGAGCAAACAGGAUUAGAUACCCCUGUAGUC